rnacentral:lncRNA from 1 species
GGAGAGACACACCAUCAAUCAAUUUAGUGGGUGUGUAUGGUCUAUUUACUAUGAUACUCCACAUAUCAUAGUCAAGUGCUUGAAUAAAAAUUCUCAUUCGAGCUUUCUAAUUGGUGUAGUUUAACCUAUUGAAAAGUCGAGGUCCAUUUGUGGAUUGCCCCUCAACUAGGGAUGUACCAAAUUGGGCUGCCAUAGACCUUUGGCUCUUGAUGGUUAAAUCAAGCAAGGACUAGAGCAUCGAGUUUUGAUACCACUUGUUGCCCAGAUAUGGAGCCAGGAGGGAGGUUGAAUUGGGUCUUCUAAAAAUUUUUAAGAUUAGUGCACUUAGGUAA